rnacentral:rRNA from 1 species
UCGGGAAUUUUGGGCAAUGGGCGAAAGCCUGACCCAGCAACGCCGCGUGAAGGAUGAAGUAUUUCGGUAUGUAAACUUCGAAAGAAUAAGAAGAAUAAAUGACGGUACUAUUUAUAAGGUCCGGCUAACUACGUGCCAGCAGCCGCGGUAAUACGUAGGGACCAAGCGUUGUUCGGAUUUACUGGGCGUAAAGGGCGCGUAGGCGGCAAUUCAAGUCAUCUGUGAAAUCUCCGGGCUUAACUCGGAACGGUCAGAUGAUACUGCUUUGCUAGAGUGCAGAAGGGGCAAUCGGAAUUCUUGGUGUAGCGGUGAAAUGCGUAGAUAUCAAGAGGAACACCUGAGGUGAAGACGGGUUGCUGGGCUGACACUGACGCUGAGGCGCGAAAGCCAGGGGAGCAAACGGGAUUAGAUACCCCCGUAGUCCCUGAGCGGGCUGGCAAGGCGCAU